AACGUAGGUGACAAGCGUUAUCCGGAUUUACUGGGCGUAAAGCGUGCGCAGGCGGGGGGGUAAGUGGUGUUUGGAAACGCUCGGCUUAACCGGGCGCUGUUAUGCCAGACUAUCUCUCUGGAGCGCGAGAGAGGAGCGUGGAAUUCCGGGUGUAGUGGUGAAAUGCGUAGAGAUCCGGAGGAACCCCAGAGGCGAAGGCGGCGCUCUGGCUCGCGACUGACGCUCAGACACGACAGCAUGGGGAGCGAACGGG
rnacentral:rRNA from 1 species